CCUACGGGUGGCAGCAGUGAGGAAUAUUGGUCAAUGGGCGCAAGCCUGAACCAGCCAAGUAGCGUGCAGGAUGACUGCCCUACGGGUUGUAAACUGCUUUUAUUUAGGAAUAAAGUGAGGCACGUGAGCCUUGUUGUAUGUGUUUCAUGAAUAAAGAGAGGCUAACUCCGCGCCAGCAGCCGCGGUAAUACGGGGGAUCCGAGCGUUAUCCGGAUUUAUUGGGUUUAAAGGGAGCGUAGAUGGGUUGUUAAGUCAGUGGUGAAAGUUUGCGGCUCAACCGUAAAAUUGCAAUUGAUACUGGCAGUCUUGAGUACAGUUGAGGUAGGCGGAAUUCGUGGUGUAGCGGUGAAAUGCUUAGAUAUCACGAAGAACUCCGAUUGCGAAGGCAGCUUACUAAACUGCCACUGACAUUGAUGCUCGAAAGUGUGGGUAUCAAACAGGAUUAGAUACCCGUGUAGUC
rnacentral:rRNA from 1 species